rnacentral:rRNA from 1 species
GAGGAAUAUUGGUCAAUGGACGGAGGUCUGAACCAGCCAAGUAGCGUGCAGGAUGACGGCCCUAUGGGUUGUAAACUGCUUUUGUAUGGGGAUAAAGUUAGGGACGUGUCCCUAUUUGCAGGUACCAUACGAAUAAGGACCGGCUAAUUCCGUGCCAGCAGCCGCGGUAAUACGGAAGGUCCAGGCGUUAUCCGGAUUUAUUGGGUUUAAAGGGAGCGUAGGCUGGAGAUUAAGUGUGUUGUGAAAUGUAGACGCUCAACGUCUGAAUUGCAGCGCAUACUGGUUUCCUUGAGUACGCACAACGUUGGCGGAAUUCGUCGUGUAGCGGUGAAAUGCUUAGAUAUGACGAAGAACUCCGAUUGCGAAGGCAGCUGACGGGAGCGCAACUGACGCUUAAGCUCGAAGGUGCGGGUAUCAAACAGGAUUAGAUACCCUGGUAGUCCGCACAGUAAACGAUGGAUGCCCGCUGUUGGUACCUGGUAUCAGCGGCUAAGCGAAAGCAUUAAGCAUCCCACCUGGGGAGUACGCCGGCAACGGUG